rnacentral:rRNA from 1 species
GGGUUGUGAGGUUAAGCGACUAAGCGUACACGGUGGAUGCCCUGGCAGUCAGAGGCGAUGAAGGGCGUGCUAAUCUGCGAUAAGCGCCGGUAAGGUGAUAUGAACCGUUAUAACCGGCGAUACCCGAAUGGGGAAACCCAGUGUGAUUCGUCACACUAUCAUUAACUGAAUCCAUAGGUUAAUGAGGCGAACCGGGGGAACUGAAACAUCUAAGUACCCCGAGGAAAAGAAAUCAACCGAGAUUCCCCCAGUAGCGGCGAGCGAACGGGGAGGAGCCCAGAGCCUGAAUCAGCAUGUGUGUUAGUGGAAGCGUCUGGAAAGGCGCGCGAUACAGGGUGACAGCCCCGUACACAAAAGCGCAUGUGCUGUGAGCUCGAUGAGUAGGGCGGGACACGUGGUAUCCUGUCUGAAUAUGGGGGGACCAUCCUCCAAGGCUAAAUACUCCUGACUGACCGAUAGUGAACCAGUACCGUGAGGGAAAGGCGAAAAGAACCCCGGCGAGGGGAGUGAAAAAGAACCUGAAACCGUGUACGUACAAGCAGUGGGAGCNNGGGCGUUAAGUUGCAGGGUAUAGACCCGAAACCCGGUGAUCUAGCCAUGGGCAGGUUGAAGGUUGGGUAACACUAACUGGAGGACCGAACCGACUAAUGUUGAAAAAUUAGCGGAUGACCUGUGGCUGGGGGUGAAAGGCCAAUCAAACCGGGAGAUAGCUGGUUCUCCCCGAAAGCUAUUUAGGUAGCGCCUCGUGAAUUCAUCUCCGGGGGUAGAGCACUGUUUCGGCUAGGGGGCCAUCCCGGCUUACCAACCCGAUGCAAACUGCGAAUACCGGAGAAUGUUAUCACGGGAGACACACGGCGGGUGCUAACGUCCGUCGUGAAGAGGGAAACAACCCAGACCGCCAGCUAAGGUCCCAAAGUCAUGGUUAAGUGGGAAACGAUGUGGGAAGGCCCAGACAGCCAGGAUGUUGGCUUAGAAGCAGCCAUCAUUUAAAGAAAGCGUAAUAGCUCACUGGUCGAGUCGGCCUGCGCGGAAGAUGUAACGGGGCUAAACCAUGCACCGAAGCUGCGGCAGCGACACUGUGUGUUGUUGGGUAGGGGAGCGUUCUGUAAGCCUGCGAAGGUGGCCUGUGAGGGUUGCUGGAGGUAUCAGAAGUGCGAAUGCUGACAUAAGUAACGAUAAAGCGGGUGAAAAGCCCGCUCGCCGGAAGACCAAGGGUUCCUGUCCAACGUUAAUCGGGGCAGGGUGAGUCGACCCCUAAGGCGAGGCCGAAAGGCGUAGUCGAUGGGAAACGGGUUAAUAUUCCCGUACUUGGUGUUACUGCGAAGGGGGGACGGAGAAGGCUAUGUUGGCCGGGCGACGGUUGUCCCGGUUUAAGCGUGUAGGUGUGUGUUCCAGGUAAAUCCGGUUCACUUUAACACUGAGGCGUGACGACGAGGCACUACGGUGCUGAAGCAACAAAUGCCCUGCUUCCAGGAAAAGCCUCUAAGCAUCAGGUAACAUCAAAUCGUACCCCAAACCGACACAGGUGGUCAGGUAGAGAAUACCAAGGCGCUUGAGAGAACUCGGGUGAAGGAACUAGGCAAAAUGGUGCCGUAACUUCGGGAGAAGGCACGCUGACACGUAGGUGAAGUGAUUUACUCAUGGAGCUGAAGUCAGUCGAAGAUACCAGCUGGCUGCAACUGUUUAUUAAAAACACAGCACUGUGCAAACACGAAAGUGGACGUAUACGGUGUGACGCCUGCCCGGUGCCGGAAGGUUAAUUGAUGGGGUCAGCGCAAGCGAAGCUCCUGAUCGAAGCCCCGGUAAACGGCGGCCGUAACUAUAACGGUCCUAAGGUAGCGAAAUUCCUUGUCGGGUAAGUUCCGACCUGCACGAAUGGCGUAAUGAUGGCCAGGCUGUCUCCACCCGAGACUCAGUGAAAUUGAACUCGCUGUGAAGAUGCAGUGUACCCGCGGCAAGACGGAAAGACCCCGUGAACCUUUACUAUAGCUUGACACUGAACAUUGAGCCUUGAUGUGUAGGAUAGGUGGGAGGCUUUGAAGUGUGGACGCCAGUCUGCAUGGAGCCGACCUUGAAAUACCACCCUUUAAUGUUUGAUGUUCUAACGUGGACCCGUUACCCGGGUUGCGGACAGUGUCUGGUGGGUAGUUUGACUGGGGCGGUCUCCUCCUAAAGAGUAACGGAGGAGCACGAAGGUUGGCUAAUCCUGGUCGGACAUCAGGAGGUUAGUGCAAUGGCAUAAGCCAGCUUGACUGCGAGCGUGACGGCGCGAGCAGGUGCGAAAGCAGGUCAUAGUGAUCCGGUGGUUCUGAAUGGAAGGGCCAUCGCUCAACGGAUAAAAGGUACUCCGGGGAUAACAGGCUGAUACCGCCCAAGAGUUCAUAUCGACGGCGGUGUUUGGCACCUCGAUGUCGGCUCAUCACAUCCUGGGGCUGAAGUAGGUCCCAAGGGUAUGGCUGUUCGCCAUUUAAAGUGGUACGCGAGCUGGGUUUAGAACGUCGUGAGACAGUUCGGUCCCUAUCUGCCGUGGGCGCUGGAGAACUGAGGGGGGCUGCUCCUAGUACGAGAGGACCGGAGUGGACGCAUCACUGGUGUUCGGGUUGUCAUGCCAAUGGCACUGCCCGGUAGCUAAAUGCGGAAGAGAUAAGUGCUGAAAGCAUCUAAGCACGAAACUUGCCCCGAGAUGAGUUCUCCCUGAGACUUAGAGUCUCCUGAAGGAACGUUGAAGACGACGACGUUGAUAGGCCGGGUGUGUAAGCGCAGCGAUGCGUUGAGCUAACCGGUACUAAUGAACCGUGAGGCUUAACCUUACAACGCCGAAG